GGCAGACGGGUGAGUAACGCGUGGGAACGUACCCUUUACUACGGAACAACUCCGGGAAACUGGAGCUAAUACCGUAUGUGCCCUUUGGGGGAAAGAUUUAUCGGUAAAGGAUCGGCCCGCGUUGGAUUAGCUAGUUGGUGGGGUAAAGGCCUACCAAGGCGACGAUCCAUAGCUGGUCUGAGAGGAUGAUCAGCCACAUUGGGACUGAGACACGGCCCAAACUCCUACGGGAGGCAGCAGUGGGGAAUAUUGGACAAUGGGCGCAAGCCUGAUCCAGCCAUGCCGCGUGAAUGAUGAAGGCCUUAGGGUUGUAAAGUUCUUUCACCGGAGAAGAUAAUGACGGUAUCCGGAGAAGAAGCCCCGGCUAACUUCGUGCCAGCAGCCGCGGUAAUACGAAGGGGGCUAGCGUUGUUCGGAAUUACUGGGCGUAAAGCGCGCGUAGGUGGUUAUUUAAGUCAGGGGUGAAAUCCCAGAGCUCAACUCUGGAACUGCCUUUGAUACUGGGUAUCUUGAGUGUGGAAGAGUCAGUGGAAUUGCGAGUGUAGAGGUGAAAUUCGUAGAUAUUCGCAGGAACACCAGUGGCGAAGGCGGCUGACUGGUCCACAACUGACGCUGAGGUGCGAAAGCGUGGGGAGCAAA
rnacentral:rRNA from 1 species